rnacentral:rRNA from 1 species
UACGUAGGGAGCAAGCGUUGUCCGGAAUCAUUGGGCGUAAAGCGCGCGUAGGCGGCCCCGUAAGUCCGCUGUGAAAGUCAAAGGCUCAACCUUUGAAAGCCGGUGGAUACUGUGGGGCUAGAGUCCGGAAGAGGCGAGUGGAAUUCCUGGUGUAGCGGUGGAAUGCGCAGAUAUCAGGAGGAACACCUGUGGCGAAAGCGGCGCACUGGACCACAACUGACGCUGAGGCGCGAAAGCUAGGGGAGCAAACAGG